GGCCAGACUCCUACGGGAGGCAGCAGUGAGGAAUAUUGGUCAAUGGUCGGGAGACUGAACCAGCCAAGCCGCGUGAGGGAUGAAGGUACAGAGUAUCGUAAACCUCUUUUGUCAGGGAACAAAGGCGGGGACGUGUCCCCGGAUGAGUGUACCCGAAGAAAAAGCAUCGGCUAACUACGUGCCAGCAGCCGCGGUAAUACGUAGGGGGCAAGCGUUAUCCGGAAUUAUUGGGCGUAAAGAGUACGUAGGUGGCAACCUAAGCGCAGGGUUUAAGGCAAUGGCUCAACCAUUGUUCGCCCUGCGAACUGGGAUGCUUGAGUGCAGGAGAGGAAAGCGGAAUUCCUAGUGUAGCGGUGAAAUGCGUAGAUAUCGAGAGGAACACUCGUGGCGAAGGCGGGUUCCUGGACAUUAACUGACGCUGAGGCACGAAGGCCAGGGGAGCGAAAGGGAUUAGAUACCCCAGUAGC
rnacentral:rRNA from 1 species